rnacentral:misc_RNA from 1 species
GCUAUUGGAUUUUUAUACCCUUAUCAUCCUCAAUAUUAUGAGGUAUACAUGUCGUGAUUUCUGGAAAAUUGAUUCAGGGCAGGUGUCUCAUACCAAUUUAGAUCUUCCUCGGUAAAGCUGNNNNNNNGAGUUGCAUGUAUAAUGAUUUUGACACUGAAGUAUACAAAUGAGAUUUUAAUAGAGUCGUGCACUAGACUUGUACUUAAAAUAAUCCUAUAAUUGCCAUCAACACGAUAUGGC